GAACAGAGUUUUAUAUUAUAUUUAUAACAAAGACCUGUUAUCAGCCUGAUAUUUUUUUACUACUAUGAUCAUUUUAUUUUUCGUUUUAAAGGACGAGAUCUCACAGCUACACAUUUUAACGAAGGGUUGGAACUGUACCUUGGUGGGAAAUCAGCAGGAUCCAAACUCCGCCCUUCGGAUAGUGAGAAGGGCAGGAGAGGAGGUCCUUGGACUAAGCUUGCCAGCUCUGACAUCACAUUCAGGUUCCUCUCUGGUGAAUUUACGAGGGAUUUCUGUUGAGGAAACUUCUUUUUCUGUUGAGACAGCCGCACUCCUGACGAGACCAAAUCUAGAAUUUCAGCCGAGUUUCCUUGCCUAUAACCGGCACUUUUUAUUCAAAUUUUAAACCCUGAAAAUUGGACUGUGGGUUAUCUGAGAAAAGCUAUGAAUUCAUAAAACUUCACUUGAGACCGAAUAUGAGGCAGUUAUUAAAUCACUACAAGAAACUGUUCUCAAACUUCAGGAAAUCGUGGAGAAACAAUCUGUUCAGAUUACGGGUAUGCAGUCUGAAAAAAAAUGUUGAGUAAGUAGAAGUUUCAGACUUACUUUUUUGGGAGGAGUUUAGCUGCUUCUAAAAAUGGGCGCGGUAGUUUUUUCACAUUUUCCACUUCGCUUUUGUCAAAGUCUUCCAGUUUGACACUUUCUGCAAUAGAAAACAAUGGUAUGAAGAUUUUUCCCCACUUGUAUUGAGAUGCUUCAAUAGAUUCUUUUGGUCGAAAGUGAUAGUCCGUCACCUUUCUGCUACAGUAUCACAAGCAGCAUUCACGCUUUGAAGCUAUGUUGCCAGUCAUCUCAAUAUUAUUUCAAUUUUUUCUUUAAAACUUUUGCACAAACUUUCACGAAAAUUUCAUGGAUCAAUCUUGAUGACAAAUGGAAUGUCAGGUAAAAUUUUCAGAAGAUUCUGGUGAUUGGCUUUCCCUAAAAAGUUGGACAAGUUGGAGAAAUUGGAUGUUGUAGAUCUCACUUACAGUACGCCACACACCUAGGAAACUGUACUAAAAUGGAAUUUUAAUUGAACUUACCAUCACUCGAAUCAUUUCCAGCAUUUUCUAUCAUUGACUGCUGCCGGGGGUUUGACUUGGGCUUGACAGCUUUGCGCCUUUUACACGGUUUAGGCCUCAAGUUAUUUGGUGGGCCCAAAUGUGCAUCAGAGAUUGUAACUGGUUCAUCGUCUGACUGAGUGUGGCAAGGACUGUGGUCUGGACUGCUCAGAUCAUGCGCACGUUUUUGGAUCACGGACAGAUGCUUCCAGAUGGGACCAAUAUUCGCCGAAUAAACACCGCAAUUUGUCCAGAUGAAUUUAAUGAUACCUAGAAAUCAGAAUUGGGCUAAUUUAAAACAUUUCCCUGCAAGUUACUACAAAUACUCUUAACCAUAAACUUUUUAACUCUUUUUUUAUUUUGU
rnacentral:lncRNA from 1 species